GAUGAACGCUGGCGGCGUGCCUAAUACAUGCAAGUCGAGCGAACAGACGAGGCUCUUGCUCCUCUGACGUUAGCGGCGGGCGGGUGAGUCACACGUGGAUAACCUCCAUAUAAGACUUAGAUAACUUCGGGAAGCCGGAGCUAAUACCGGAUCAUAUAUUGAACCGCAGGGUUCAAUAGUGAAAGCGGGUUUUGCUGUCACUUAUAGCUGGAUCCGCGCCGCAUUAGCUAGUUGGUAAGGUAACGGCUUACCAAGGCGGCGAUGCGUAGCCGACCUGAGAGGCUGAUCGGCCACACGAGAACGUAGACGCGGACAAUACUCCUACGGGAGGGAGCAGUAGGGUAUCGGCGGCAAUGGGCGAGAGCCUGACGGAGCAAGGGCGCGCGUGUUACGAAGGUGUUCGGAUCGUGAUGCCCGGUUACGAGUUAUGAACCAAUGUGGACGUAACUAUAGCCGUCGUGACGGUACCUGAACAGAAAGCCCCGGCUAACUACGUG
rnacentral:rRNA from 1 species